GGGUUAGGGUUGGAGCUAGGGUUAGGGUUAGGGUUAGGGUUGGAGUAAGGGUUAGUGUUGGAGCUAGGGUUAGGGUUGGGCUUGGAGCUAGGAUUUUUCUGAGUGCAAUGAACCAACUCCCGAGUCUCUAGGACAUUCCUAAAAAAAUUUGAUUUUUUUCCCAUAGGAAUGCAUGGGUUAGGGUUAGGGUUAGGGUUGGAGUUAGGGUUAGUGUUGGAGCUAGGGUUAGGGUUGGGCUUGGAGCUAGGAUUUUUCUGAGUGCAAUGAACCAACUCCCGAGUCUCUAGGACGUUCCUAAAAAAAUUUGAUUUUUUUUCCCAUAGGAAUGCAUGGGUUAGGGUUAGGGUUAGGGUUGGAGCUAGGGUUAGGGUUAGGGUUAGGGUUGGAGUAAGGGUUAGUGUUGGAGCUAGGGUUAGGGUUGGGCUUGGAGCUAGGAUUUUUCUGAGUGCAAUGAACCAACUCCCGAGUCUCUAGGACAUUCCUAAAAAAAUUUGAUUUUCUUCCCAUAGGAAUGCAUGGGUUAGGGUUAGGGUUAGGGUUGGAGUUAGGGUUAGUGUUGGAGCUAGGGUUAGGGUUGGGCUUGGAGCUAGGAUUUUUCUGAGUGCAAUGAACCAACUCCCGAGUCUCUAGGACGUUCCUAAAAAAAUUAGAUUUUUUCCCAUAGGAAUGCAUGGGUUAGGGUUAGGGUUAGGGUUGGAGCUAGGGUUAGGGUUAGGGUUAGGGUUGGAGUUAGGGUUAGUGUUGGAGCUAGGGUUAGGGUUGGGCUUGGAGCUAGGAUUUUUCUGAGUGCUAUGAACCAACUCCCGAGUCUCUAGGACGUUCCUAAAAAAAUUUGAUUUUUUCCCAUAGGAAUGCAUGGGUUAGGGUUAGGGUUAGGGUUGGAGCUAGGGUUAGGGUUAGGGUUAGGGUUGGAGCUAGGGUUAGGGUUAGGGUUAGGGUUGGAGUUAGGGUUAGUGUUGGAGCUAGGGUUAGGGUUGGGCUUGGAGCUAGGAUUUUUCUGAGUGCAUUGAACCAAGUCCCGAGUCUCUAGGACAUUCCUAAAAAAAUUUGAUUUUUUCCCAUAGGAAUGCAUGGGUUAGGGUUAGGGUUAGGGUUGGAGCUAGGGUUAGGGUUAGGGUUAGGGUUGGAGUUAGGGUUUGUGUUGGAGCUAGGGUUAGGGUUGGGCUUGGAGCUAGGAUUUUUCUGAGUGCAAUGAACCAACUCCCGAGUCUCUAGGACGUUCCUAAAAAAAUUUGAUUUUUUCCCAUAGGAAUGCAUGGGUUAGGGUUAGGUUUAGGGUUGGAGUUAGGGUUAGGGUUAGGGUUGGAGUUAGGGUUAGUGUUGGAGCUAGGGUUAGGGUUGGGCUUGGAGCUAGGAUUUUUCUGAGUGCAAUGAACCAACUCCCGAGUCUCUAGGACGUUCCUAAAAAAAUUUGAUUUUUUCCCAUAGGAAUGCAUGGGUUAGGGUUAGGGUUAAGGUUGGAGCUAGGGUUAGGGUUAGGGUUAGGGUUGGGUUAGGGUUAGGGUUAGGGUUAGAGUUAGGGUGGAGCUAGGGUUAGGGUUGGGGCUAGGGUUAGGGUUAGGGUUGGGGCUAGGGUUAGGUUUGGGUUAGGGUUAAGGUUGGAGCUAGGGUUAGGGUUAGGGUUAGGGUUGGAGCUAGGGUUAGGGUUAGGGUUAGGGUUGGAGUUAGGGUUAAGGUUGGAGCUAGGGUUAGGGUUGGGCUUGGAGCUAGGAUUUUUCUGAGUGCAAUGAACCAACUCCUGAGUCUCUAGGACGUUCCUAAAAAAAUUGAUUUUUUCCCAUAGGAAUGCAUGGGUUCGGUUUAGGAUUAGGGUUGGAGCUAGGGUUAGGGUUAGGGUUAGGGUUGGAGUUAGGGUUAGUGUUGAAGCUAGGGUUAGGGUUGGGCUUGGAGCUAGGAUUUUUCUGAGUGCAAUGAACCAACUCCUGAGUCUCUAGGACGUUCCUAAAAAAAUUUGAUUUUUUCCCAUAGGAAUGCAUGGGAAAAAAAAAUUGAAAAAUGUUCUAAGUGCCAACCCAAUUUUUCACCUUCCAGAAUAGUGUUAGGAGCACGUUUCAGGACACGGGGAGUCUAUAGAACCUAAUUCUGGGGGAAGUUUUUUGAAAGGUUUACUUAGGGUUUGGGUUAGGGUUAGGGUUGGAGCUAGGGUUAGGGUUAGGGUUAAGGUUGGAGCUAGGGUUAGGGUUAGGAUUAGGGUGGAGCUAGGGUUAGGGUUAGGGUUAGAACUAGGGUUAGGGUUGGGGCUAGGGUUAGGGUUAGGGUUAAGGUUGGAGCUAGGGUUAGGGUUAGGGUUAGGGUUGGAGCUAGGGUUAGGGUUAGGGUUAGGGUUGGAGCUAGGGUUAGGGUUAGGGUUGGAGUUAGG
rnacentral:lncRNA from 1 species